rnacentral:rRNA from 1 species
AACGAACGCUGGCGGCAUGCCUAACACAUGCAAGUCGAACGAGAUCUUCGGGUCUAGUGGCGCACGGGUGCGUAACGCGUGGGAAUCUGCCCUUUGGUUCGGAAUAACAGUUGGAAACGACUGCUAAUACCGGAUGAUGACGAAAGUCCAAAGAUUUAUCGCCAGAGGAUGAGCCCGCGUAGGAUUAGCUAGUUGGUGUGGUAAAGGCGCACCAAGGCGACGAUCCUUAGCUGGUCUGUGAGGAUGAUCAGCCACACUGGGACUGAGACACGGCCCAGACUCCUACGGGAGGCAGCAGUGGGGAAUAUUGGACAAUGGGCGAAAGCCUGAUCCAGCAGUGCCGCGUGAGUGAUGAAGGCCUUAGUGUUGUAAAGCUCUUUUACCCGGGAUGAUAAUGACAGUACCGGGAGAAUAAGCUCCGGCUAACUCCGUGCCAGCAGCCGCGGUAA